UACGUAGGUGACCAGCGUUGUCCGGAUUUACUGGGCGUAAAGAGCGCGCAGGCGGCCGUUCAAGUCGAGUGUGAAAGCCCCCGGCUCAACUGGGGAGGGUCAUUCGAUACUGAUCGACUGGAAGGCAGGAGAGGGAAGCGGAAUUCCCGGUGUAGUGGUGAAAUGCGUAGAUAUCGGGAGGAACACCAGUGGCGAAGGCGGCUUCCUGGCCUGUUCUUGACGCUGAGGCGCGAAAGCUAGGGGAGCAAACGGG
rnacentral:rRNA from 1 species